rnacentral:rRNA from 1 species
GAUGAACGCUAGCUACAGGCUUAACACAUGCAAGUCGAGGGGUAACGAGAGGGAAGCUUGCUUUCCUUGUCGACGACCGGCGCACGGGUGAGUAACGCGUAUCCAACCUGCCCCCAACUAGGGAAUAACCUUGCGAAAGUAAGACUAAUACCCUAUAAUUUCCUCAGAUGUCAUCUGACGAGGAAUAAAGAUUUAUCGGUUGUGGAUGGGGAUGCGUCUGAUUAGCUUGUUGGCGGGGUAACGGCCCACCAAGGCAACGAUCAGUAGGGGUUCUGAGAGGAAGGUCCCCCACGUUGGAACUGGGACAAGGUCCAAACUCCUACGGGAGGCAGCAGUGAGGAAUAGUGGUCAAUGGGCGGAAGCCUGAACCAGCCAAGUAGCGUGCAGGAUGACGGCCCUAUGGGUUGUAAACUGCUUUUAUACAGGAAUAAAGUUAGCCACGUGUGGUUAUUUGUAGGUACUGUAUGAAUAAGGACCGGCUAAUUCCGUGCCAGCCGCCGCCGUAA